GCUUGUCUCAAAGAUUAAGCCAUGCAUGUCUAAGUAUAAACAAUUUUGUACUGUGAAACUGCGAAUGGCUCAUUAUAUCAGUUAUAGUCUACUCGAUAGUACCUUACUACUUGGAUAACCGUAGUAAUUCUAGAGCUAAUACAUGCAUUACACCCAACUUGCUUUGCGGACGGGUAGCAUUUAUUAGAUUGAAACCAAUGCAGUCCUAGACUGGUAUUGUGUUGAAUCAUAAUAACUGUGCGGAUCGCGCUUUUGCGCGAUAAAUCGAUUGAGUUUCUGCCCUAUCAGCUUUGGAUGGUAGGAUAUGGGCCUACCAUGGCAUUAACGGGUAACGGGGAAUUAGGGUUUGAUUCCGGAGAGGGAGCCUUAGAAACGGCUACCACAUCCAAGGAAGGCAGCAGG
rnacentral:rRNA from 1 species